UACGUAGGUCCCCGAGCGUUGUCCGGAUUUAUUGGGCGUAAAGCGAGCGCAGGUGGUUUAUUAAGUCUGGUGUAAAAGGCAGUGGCUCAACCAUUGUAUGCAUUGGAAACUGGUAGACUUGAGUGCAGGAGAGGAGAGUGGAAUUCCAUGUGUAGCGGUGAAAUGCGUAGAUAUAUGGAGGAACACCGGUGGCGAAAGCGGCUCUCUGGCCUGUAACUGACACUGAGGCUCGAAAGCGUGGGGAGCG
rnacentral:rRNA from 1 species